rnacentral:rRNA from 1 species
AUAAUACCCGCUGAACUUAAGCAUAUCAAUAAGCGGAGGA